rnacentral:misc_RNA from 1 species
AACGGUCUAUACCUGCGGUACCUGCGGAGGGAUCAUUACUGAGGAGGGUCCAUGGCCCGAUCUCCAACCCUUUGAUAAAAACACCAUGUUGCUUUGGCAGGCCCGCCCGUUGGGGCCGCGGGGGAUCGCCGGUCCCUAGCCCGUGCCUGCCGGUAGCCUUCACAAAACUCUCAAAAUGUUGUCGUCUGAGAUGAUUAGAAUAAUAAAACUUUCAACAACGGAUCUCUAGAUCGGAAGAGC